GAGGUUCCCAGGCUAGGGGUCAAAUCGGAGCUAGAGCUGCCAUCCUACACCAGAGCCACAGCCACGCUGGAUCCUUAACCUGCUGAGCAAGGAGGCCCAGGAUCGAACCUGCAUCCUCAUGGACACUAGUUGGGUUUGUUACUGAUGAGCCACAAUAGGAACUCCUCUCCUUCAUUCUGUUUUAUGGAGGGUUUAAAAAAAGGACUGUUUUCCUGGUAUGACACCCUCAUCUUGUGGAAUGCUGGGAUAUUGCUGCUAAAUUUUUCUUUUCACGGCUUCAUUGGGAUGUUACUUACAGACCAUAUAGCUUACCCACUUGGAGGAGACAAUUCAUCGAGGUUUCGUGUAUUUAUUAUAUUGCAACUAUCAACACAAUCUAAUUUUAGAACACCUUCAUCCCAAAACCAAACCUUAAGUCCAUCAGGAGUGACUCUCCACUGCUCCUUGUCCCCUGGCAACUGUACCUCCUUACAAAUGAUACAAGUACGUAAGAAGAGCUUAAGAAACACGGCUGUCACCAUCAAGAUGAUUUUUUUAAUACACAGGAGUAGAGUAAGAAAAGAAUUAAGAAAAUCAUUUGAUCCUUGCAAUUCACUUUUACUUUGGUCUCAGUUUUCAGCCUAACCAUGAAACAUUCACGUCUAACAAAUGAGAAUGUCGGAGACACUCAGAUUGUCCACGUAGGCUCUUUUAUACAAACUCGUGUUAUCAGCUAGGGUUAAAUUCAGCUGUGAGUAACAGAGGCCCAAAAUAAUGAUUUAAACAAAAUAAAAAUGUGGAGUUCCCAUCGUGGCUCAGCGGUUAACGAACUUGAGUAGCAUCCAUGAGGACACGGAUUUGAUCUGUGGCCUCGCUCAGUGGGUUGAAUAUCUGGCAUUGCCGAGAGCUAUGGUGUAGGUCACAGACACAGAUCGGAUCCUGCAUUGGUGUGGCUGUGGUGUAGGCCAGAGGCUACAGCUCUGAUUGGACCCCUAGCCUGGGAACCUCCACAUGCCCCGGGUGCACCCUAAAGGGAUAAAAAGACAACAAUACAUACAUACAUAACAAUGCAAGUCCCUUGCAUGUGACAGUCCAGAGGCCGGUGGCAGCGUGCCCAGCGUGCUGUCUCUGGUCCACAAAGUCUUCCCAGAUGCCCACAUCUUCUAAGUCACCAUCCCUACAUCCUCUGGGUAUGGCUCUUGUUCCCGUGACUCACCAUGGUGGCUAGAGCAACAGGCAUCAUGACAGUGCUCCAGGCACAGGGUAAAAGGAGGGAUACCCGUGAAAGCUGCGGGAAGGAGCACUCAGCAGUUUUCUCCAAAGGAUCCUGCCAGCUCCCAGACAACCAACCCUUUUGCUCACAUUCUAUCAGCCAGACUUCGUCACCCGGACUCCUCCGGGUGCAUGAGAAGCUGGGAAAUGCAGUCCUUAUUCCAGACAGCUUGUGCACAAGCACAAGUUGUGAGUUCUGAUAAGGCGAGAGUGAAGAGUAGCAUAACCAGCAGUCUCUGCCACACAUGCAAUAUGCUCGAAACUCGAAAUACAAUAAAUGGGUAUUUUCACAGGAGGGUGACACUGAUGUCACUAAGUGCGAAUUAUGAGGAGUUGGGUGAACUCUAGUUGCAAAGAUAAGAGAAUACUGGAAGAACUGAUGCUCAGAGGGGAAUCGCAAAAGAGAUGAAGGGCUGCUGAUAGACUCGAGGAGACCACUGUUGAGCAGCAGCUCUUUUCAUCGCCUUUGUGGACAAGGAUGUGAAAGAAAGUUCACUGAUGCUUUAAAAAGGAAUGCAAUGGGAAAGUGCGCAUAUCCUUUGGUCCAAUAAACCCAUUUCCUACAUUUUCUUCAACAGUGAAAUAAACUAUAUGCCCAUGGGCAUUCC
rnacentral:lncRNA from 1 species